rnacentral:rRNA from 1 species
AGUAAUGCUUGGGAAUCUAGCUUAUGGAGGGGGAUAACUACGGGAAACUGUAGCUAAUACCGCGUAGAAUCGUGAGAUGAAAGUGUGGGACCUUCGGGCCACAUGCCAUAGGAUGAGCCCAAGUGGGAUUAGGUAGUUGGUGAGGUAAAGGCUCACCAAGCCGACGAUCUCUAGCUGGUCUGAGAGGAUGACCAGCCACACUGGGACUGAGACACGGCCCAG